rnacentral:rRNA from 1 species
AUGGGAUUUAUAGAUAUUCAAAGUUUUAACUUGGCGCUCCUAGCUAAGCAAUGUUGGAGACUUAUUGAGCACCAUGAGUCACUUUGUGCAAGGGUACUCCGUGCUAAAUACUACCCUACUGGUGAACUACUAAACUGUGGUUUGAAGAAGGGUUCUUCCUUUGUAUGGCAGAGUAUAUGGGCAGGAGUUCAGUCCUUUAAGAAAGGAAGCAUUUGGAGGGUGGGAAACGGUCUGAAGAUUAACAUUUGGGAGGACUGUUGGGUGCCGAACAGCUCCUCCAGGAAAGUGAUCACUCCACGCGGUAACAUAAUGUUGGCCAGGGUUUAUGAGCUGAUUAACCCUGUAUCUGGCGAGUGGGAUGAAGGUCUAAUUAGAGAAAACUUCUGGCCUAUUGACGUUGACCGUAUACUGCAAAUUCCCUUGCACCAUGAGGAUACAGAAGAUUAUGUGGCGUGGCACUUGAUGGGGACGGAACUGUUUAUCGUGCGGUCUGCUUAUUAUAAACAGUGGGAAGAUUCGUAUGCUAAUUGUGAACCAAGUGCUAUCUCGAGUGGAUCUAUGUCACACCCAAUAUGGAAGAAGUUGUGGAAUCUCAAAGUGCCAAGUAAAGUGAAAAUUUUUAUAUGGCGUUCACUGCACAAUGCCAUUCCCUGCUUUGGUGUGCUAGCUGAUCGGCAUAUUUCUACUACGGCACAAUGCCCGGUAUGCAAACUGCAUGCUGAGGAUGUCGCGCAUGCACUAUUCGGUUGCUCGCGCGCCGAAGGAAUCUGGGCGUUACUUGGCCUACAGGAAAAGGUAACUGCGGCCGGACCUCCG